AUUGAACGCUGGCGGCAGGCCUAACACAUGCAAGUCGAGCGAGAGGCGGGGGGGUGUGUAAUGUAGGGGGACUGCCCGAUAGAGGGGGAUAACUAAUGGAAACGGUGGCUAAUCUCGAAAACUAUGGGAUACCACAUAUGGGCUUAGCUAGUAGGUGAGGUAAUGGCUCACCUAGGCGACGAUCCCUCGCUGGUCUGAGAGGAUGAUCAGCCACACUGGGACGGAGACACGGCCCAGAAUCCUACGGAGGCAGCAGUGGGGAAUAUUGCACAAGCGGCGCAAGCCUGAUGCAGCCAUGCCGCGUGUAUGAAGAAGGCCCUAGGGUUGUAAAGUACUUUCAGUCGGGAGGCGUUACCGAAAGAAUAAGCACCGGCUAACUCCGUGCCAGCAGCCGCGGUAAUUC
rnacentral:rRNA from 1 species